UACAGAGGUCUCAAGCGUUGUUCGGAUUCAUUGGGCGUAAAGGGUGCGUAGGCGGCGCGGUAAGUCGGGUGUGAAAUCUCGGAGCUUAACUCCGAAACUGCAUUCGAUACUGCCGUGCUUGAGGACUGGAGAGGAGACUGGAAUUUACGGUGGAGCGGUGAAAUGCGUUGAUAUCAUCAGGAACACCGGAGGCGAAGGCGGCUCACUGGGGGUUAUCUGACGCUGAGGGACGAAAGCCAGGGGAGCGAACGGG
rnacentral:rRNA from 1 species